ensembl:snoRNA SNORA71 Small nucleolar RNA SNORA71
GCCUGCAUUCGAAAGUGAUUGUGGCAUUACCUGUGGCCUGGUCAUUGAUGCUGCAGGCAGAGUAUUGUAAAUGUUUCCCCGUGUUUAUGGGGGUGUCUGUCUCCCAUUGAGCCUUGUAAUGUUUCCACA